UACGUAGGGUGCGAGCGUUGUCCGGAAUUAUUGGGCGUAAAGAGCUCGUAGGCGGUGUGUCACGUCGGCCGUGAAAACCUGGGGCUUAACUCUGGGCGUGCGGUCGAUACGGGCAUCACUAGAGUUCGGCAGGGGAGACUGGAAUUCCUGGUGUAGCGGUGAAAUGCGUAGAUAUCUGGAGGAACACCGGUGGCGAAGGCGGCAUCCUGGACCAACACUGACGCUGAGUGAGCGAAAGCCAGGGGAGCAAACGGG
rnacentral:rRNA from 1 species